rnacentral:rRNA from 1 species
CCUACGGGAGGCAGCAGUGAGGAAUAUUGGUCAAUGGGAGGAAUCCUGAACCAGCCAUGCCGCGUGCAGGACGACGGCUCUACGGGUUGUAAACUGCUUUUAUACCGGAGUAAAGUGCUCUACGAGUGCGUUUUUGAAAGUACUUUACGAAUAAGGAUCGGCUAACUCCGUGCCAGCAGCCGCGGUAAUACGGAGGAUCCGAGCGUUAUCCGGAUUCAUUGGGUUUAAAGGGUGCGUAGUUUGGUUGAUAAGUUAGCGGUGAAAGACCGAGGCUCAACCGCGGGGCUGCAGCUGAUACUGUAGGACUAGAGAGCGGAUGCAGUAGGCGGAAUGUGUAGUGUAGCGGUGAAAUGCAUAGAUAUUACACAGAACACCGAUUGCGAAGGCAGCUUGCUAGGCUGGAUCUGACACUGAUGCACGAAAGCGUGGGGAUCGAACAGGAUUAGAUACCCCUGUAGUC